AAACACCAAUGUUUUGCAUGACUCGAAAAAGACUAAAAACGAAAAAAUUAAAAAUAAAACCAAUGUUACCCACCUCAAACCUAAACGAAAUAUUUUCCUCAAUGUUUAAAAAGAAAAUGAAAGUAAGGACAAAUAAUAGUAAAAGCAAUGAACGUGGGAAACACACAAACAAAAAUUAAAAAAAUAAGAAACGAAGGUACCUAGUUGGGUUGCCUCCCAACAAGCGCUUAGUUUAGACUCAAUAGCCCGACUUUUAGAUGCGUUAUUUGGGAUUAUUGAGAAGGAUGUUGGUCUCAUCCUUAAGAAAUGCGGCUGCCACAUGUGGUUUUAAGUGAUGGCCUUUGACUUUGAAGGUU
rnacentral:lncRNA from 1 species